UAGAAUUCUCAGCUCUGCCUGGGCCAUGCCUGCCUGGAUGCUGCCACACUCCCACCUUGAUAAUAAUGGACUGAACCUCUGAACCUACCCCAAGGAGGAGAUGAGAUAGAGAUAAACUGAAUCAUCUUUUCUUGCUAUUAUGAAGACAAAAGUCACACCAAACAAGUCUGCUUGGGACCUACAAUGAAUCAUUCCUCAUAUG